rnacentral:rRNA from 1 species
GACGAACGUUUGCGGCGUGCUUAACACAUGCAAGUCGAACGGAAAGGCCCUGCUUUUGUGGGGUGCUCGAGUGGCGAACGGGUGAGUAACACGUGAGUAACCUGCCCUUGACUUUGGGAUAACUUCAGGAAACUGGGGCUAAUACCGGAUAGGAGCUCCUGCUGCAUGGUGGGGGUUGGAAAGUUUCGGCGGUUGGGGAUGGACUCGCGGCUUAUCAGCUUGUUGGUGGGGUAGUGGCUUACCAAGGCUUUGACGGGUAGCCGGCCUGAGAGGGUGACCGGCCACAUUGGGACUGAGAUACGGCCCAGACUCCUACGGGAGGCAGCAGUGGGGAAUAUUGCACAAUGGGCGGAAGCCUGAUGCAGCAACGCCGCGUGCGGGAUGACGGCCUUCGGGUUGUAAACCGCUUUCGCCUGUGACGAAGCGUGAGUGACGGUAAUGGGUAAAGAAGCACCGGCUAACUACGUGCCAGCAGCCGCGGUGAUACGUAGGGUGCGAGCGUUGUCCGGAUUUAUUGGGCGUAAAGGGCUCGUAGGUGGUUGAUCGCGUCGGAAGUGUAAUCUUGGGGCUUAACCCUGAGCGUGCUUUCGAUACGGGUUGACUUGAGGAAGGUAGGGGAGAAUGGAAUUCCUGGUGGAGCGGUGGAAUGCGCAGAUAUCAGAAGGAACACCAGUGGCGAAGGCGGUUCUCUGGGCCUUUCCUGACGCUGAGGAGCGAAAGCGUGGGGAGCGAACAGGCUUAGAUACCCUGGUAGUCCACGCUGUAAACGGUGGGUACUAGGUGUGGGGUCCAUUCCACGGGUUCCGUGCCGUAGCUAACGCUUUAAGUACCCCGCCUGGGGAGUACGGCCGCAAGGCUAAAACUCAAAGGAAUUGACGGGGCCCCGCACAAGCGGCGGAGCAUGCGGAUUAAUUCGAUGCAACGCGUAGAACCUUACCUGGGUUUGACAUGGAUCGGGAGUGCUCAGAGAUGGGUGUGCCUCUUUUGGGGUCGGUUCACAGGUGGUGCAUGGCUGUCGUCAGCUCGUGUCGUGAGAUGUUGGGUUAAGUCCCGCAACGAGCGCAACCCUUGUUCACUGUUGCCAGCACGUUAUGGUGGGGACUCAGUGGAGACCGCCGGGGUCAACUCGGAGGAAGGUGGGGAUGACGUCAAGUCAUCAUGCCCCUUAUGUCCAGGGCUUCACGCAUGCCACAAUGGCUGGUACAGAGAGUGGCGAGCCUGUGAGGGUGAGCGAAUCUCGGAAAGCCGGUCUCAGCUCGGAUUGGGGUCUGCAACUCGACCUCAUGAAGUCGGAGUCGCUAGUAAUCGCAGAUCAGCAACGCUGCGGUGAAUACGUUCCCGGGGCU